CAGACUCUCCAUCUCCCAUCUAAGCAUUCUCUCCAUCUUCCUAUCUGAGCACUCUCCGAAUCACUUAUUUGGCUUCUAAUUCUUGACGUUCGGUUAAAUGACGGUGGCGGCAAUGUAUUUUGGUCAGGAAAAACAGCAGUAGCAUGAAAAUCGACGUUGGCACCGGCGGGAGAAUGGGUCAUGGCCAGAGGCAGGGAAAGGAGACCACAACGCUCUAAGUUUGUAAGAUUUCAGUUUCUAAAUCUUGAUUCUAAACAAUUGUUGGUCAUAUGAAUGUAGCAUAAGGGCCAUAUUAAACAAUGAUGACUCAAAAUAGUUGUAUUUUUUUUACUCAUUUGUGACUGCAAGUCAUUGAUUGAGCUAUGUGAGUGUGUGUGUGGAUGCUUAGUUUUUC